rnacentral:rRNA from 1 species
GACGAACGCUGGCGGCGUGCUUAACACAUGCAAGUCGAACGGAAAGGCCCUGCUUUUGUGGGGUGCUCGAGUGGCGAACGGGUGAGUAACACGUGAGUAACCUGCCCUUGACUUUGGGAUAACUUCAGGAAACUGGGGCUAAUACCGGAUAGGAGCUCCUGCUGCAUGGUGGGGGUUGGACAGUUUCGGCGGUUGGGGAUGGACUCGCGGCUUAUCAGCUUGUUGGUGGGGUAGUGGCUUACCAAGGCUUUGACGGGUAGCCGGCCUGAGAGGGUGACCGGCCACAUUGGGACUGAGAUACGGCCCAGACUCCUACGGGAGGCAGCAGUGGGGAAUAUUGCACAAUGGGCGGAAGCCUGAUGCAGCAACGCCGCGUGCGGGAUGACGGCCUUCGGGUUGUAAACCGCUUUCGCCUGUGACGAAGCGUGAGUGACGGUAAUGGGUAAAGAAGCACCGGCUAACUACGUG